GAUGAACGCUGGCGGCGUGCCUAAUACAUGCAAGUCGAGCGAACGGACGAGAAGCUUGCUUCUCUGAUGUUAGCGGCGGACGGGUGAGUAACACGUGGAUAACCUACCUAUAAGACUGGGAUAACUUCGGGAAACCGGAGCUAAUACCGGAUGAUAUUUUGAACCGCAUGGUUUAAAAGUGAAAGACGGUCUUGCUGUCACUUAUAGAUGGAUCCGCGCUGCAUUAGCUAGUUGGUAAGGUAACGGCUUACCAAGGCAACGAUGCAUAGCCGACCUGAGAGGGUGAUCGGCCACACUGGAACUGAGACACGGUCCAGACUCCUACGGGAGGCAGCAGUAGGGAAUCUUCCGCAAUGGGCGAAAGCCUGACGGAGCAACGCCGCGUGAGUGAUUAAGGUCUUCGGAUCGUAAAACUCUGUUAUUAGGGAAGAACAUAUGUGUAAGUAACUGUGCACAUCUUGACGGUACCUAAUCAGAAAGCCACGGCUAACUACGUG
rnacentral:rRNA from 1 species